rnacentral:rRNA from 1 species
GGCUCUCUGGUCUGUCACUGACGCUGAGGCUCGAAAGCGUGGGUAGCGAACAGGAUUAGAUACCCUGGUAGUNCACGCCGUAAACGAUGGGUGCUAGGUGUUAGGCCCUUUCCGGGGCUUAGUGCCGGAGCUAACGCAAUAAGCACUCCGCCUGGGAGUACGACCGCAAGGUUGAAACUCAAAGGAAUUGACGGGGGCCCGCACAAGCGGUGGAGCAUGUGGUUUAAUUCGAAGCAACGCGAAGAACCUUACCAGGUCUUGACAUCCCGAUGCUAUUCUUAGAGAUAGGAAGUUACUUCGGUACAUCGGAGACAGGUGGUGCAUGGUUGUCGUCAGCUCGUGUCGUGAGAUGUUGGGUUAAGUCCCGCAACGAGCGCAACCCUUAUUGUUAGUUGCCAUCAUUAAGUUGGGCACUCUAGCGAGACUGCCGGUAAUAAACCGGAGGAAGGUGGGGAUGACGUCAAAUCAUCAUGCCCCUUAUGACCUGGGCUACACACGUGCUACAAUGGUCGGUACAACGAGUUGCGAGCCGGUGACGGCAAGCUAAUCUCUGAAAGCCGAUCUCAGUUCGGAUUGGAGGCUGCAACUCGCCUCCAUGAAGUCGGAAUCGCUAGUAAUCGCGGAUCAGCACGCCGCGGUGAAUACGUUCCCGGGCCUUGUACACACCGCCCGUCACACCACGAGAGUUUGUAACACCCGAAGUCGGUGAGGUAACCUUUUAGG